UUGUCUUUUAAAUAAAGACCAGUAUGAAUGGCAAGACGAAAGUUCAACUGUCUCCCUAAAUUAAUCAAUGAAAUUGAUCUUCCCGUGCAGAAGCGGGAAUAAAAUUAUAAGACGAGAAGACCCUAUGGAGCUUUAAAUAUAUGAUCAACUGUAUAAUAUAAAAUUCGAUAGAUAAAGCAUUGAAUAAAACAUUAUGAUCAAAAUUUUAGGUUGGGGCGACCACGGAGAAAAACAAAACCUCCGAGAUGAAAAGAGUAUCUUAAUUUAUGAACUACAGUUCUAAUAAAUAAAAUAUUUAACAUAAUUGAUCCAAUUUAUUGAUCAACGAACUAAGUUACCCUAGGGAUAACAGCGCAAUCCUUUCCAAGAGUCCCUAUCGACGAAUGGGUUUACGACCUCGAUGUUGGAUCAGGACACCCCAAUGGUGCAGCCGCUAUUAAAGGUUCGUUUGUUCAACGAUUAAAGUCCUA
rnacentral:rRNA from 1 species